ACAGAAGUGGUUGGGCGUCGUGAGGAACGCAUCGGCGGCAGAACACUCAAGCGGCUGGUUGUUGAGAGCACGCCAGCUGAAGAGCACCCCUGCACACUGGCAGGCCAUCCACAGGUGUCAGAAACUCAGCUCAGCUGGAAGAAACUUGACGUACCAGGUAUCAGAGUAGCAAGUAAAGCCACAAGCCAAAAAUGAAAGAGAAUCCUUUAAGUGCUUAUCGCGAUGGUGUAAGUAAUUGUCCAAAAGAAACGCCGAUUCCUUCUGUUCCAUUUUUACCUGUGGAUUGUGGAUUGAAAUAACCAUUGGACCAUGAGGAGAGACUCUGAAGAGAGGCUAGUGAUAUGUGAUAUAAUACUCUUUUGUGAUGUUGGACCAUGGCAGUGAGCCACAGCUCCCAGUCAGCAAUGCGAUCCCAAGAAUAAACAACCGAUUCUCGACAGUGUCCUAUUUUGCCAGUCGAUUUUGUUCAACAGUAGGUUCAUAUCACCUGUAGACCCAAAACAACUUCAAAUAGCCAUUUCCUUCACUGCUGUGAGCAGAUGUAGACAGAUAAGGAAAUGAAGGCACAAAGAAGUCAAGUGCUUUUCCAAUGCCAGAGAAGUAAGAGGUAAGUUAUUAUACUCUCUGCCCUUCUGGAAUUGUUGGAUAGGAUUCCUUGACUCCACAGAGCUGGUGAUAGGCUAUUAACUAUGGAUUUGCAAUCAGGUACUAAAAGCUCCCCUUGAACUGGGCUGUCAUAAUCUUUUUCCCUGUUUUUGACAUAAUAUGCUGUGUUAAUUAUAUGAUAACAUUGGUGUUAACUGAGAGUAAAAUAUAUCCUUCAAGUUGCUAUUCUAAGACUGGUCAUAAAUUUUUAUUGACUCACCCUUUAAGUCAAUGAUUUUUGGCGACUAAUAUUACAGAUUUGCAGUGGAACUUAAUGCCAUGCUUACCUACGUUUACCAUAGCAUUCUGCCUUAUGUACAAAGAACAAAAAAUGGAAAAUUAAAAACUUGAUAAUUAAACAUUGACUAGAAGAAUUUCAUUCGAAGGUGCUAAAACAAGUUUUGAUGAGGGCCCUAAUCUUUGAAGAUACGGUGAUAGGUUUCAAAGUGUAGCUUUGCUGAAACUGCCUUAAUUUUUCUUAAUACAAAGUAAGCACUUAAAAUAAGUUUUACUCUGCAACAUGGAAAAUGAUAGCAUGUAAAUUUUAUAGUUAUUUUUUUAUUUGAUGUUUACAGAAUGUUUUAGCAAUGACAAGUUGAAGUUUACUUCAAAUACAUUUGGAAUUAGAGCUGAUUUACUAUAGCUGUAUAUUUUGAAUUACACAGGCAAUAUAUUUCAAGAUAUAGAUAUAUAUUGCCAUUGCAAUAUAGAAACAGAUUGCUUAUUUUGUCAUGGCAGAAUUAUUUUGCUUUGGGGACAGAAUGUUAAAUUCUAUGAAUAUUUGUGAAGCCUAUUUCUCUACAUUGAAGAAAAUGUUUCUCCCAAAUGUUUUAAAUUGAAAUGAAAUACAAUUCCGUCUUCUUCAUGUGAGGUACCACUGCUGCAUCGGUACAUCAUACUCAGUAAUUCAGGUAGAAUAACUUAUCUGCCAACUCUAGCACAUGGCUCAAUCCUGAGUGUGGCAAGGGUCAUAUCUGAAAAACAGAACGUUCCUUUUCAUAACAUAAGAUCCUCUCAAAUUCUCAUUAGGUCAUACUGCUUGAGGCAUUGCCUGCUUUACUGGUUCCUGAUCUACAAUUUCACCAUUAAUACUUGAGUACCUUAACUCAUUUAGCUCUAUUAACAACUCAAUGUGAUGAAUAUUGUUUCUCUUCAUUUUAUAAACGAGGAAACUGGAUCAUUCGAGCCUAAACAGAGCUAGUAAGUUUCCUUAACCUCUACUUUCUUCAUACUUUCAUGACCACUGCCUAAGAAUAGGUGUAGCAAACAUUUAUUUUCAUCUAUUUUGUUGAAAUUAUGCUACAUAAAAAUACAACUACAAAUUAUGAUUCUUCAUAAAAUUAUUAACUAUCAAUUUACUACUUUUUUAGUAGAAAAAAAUUGUAAGCAAAAAGCAAAGCAGCUUUUUUUGGAACUUAAAUAUUAAGAGAAAAAAUGAUGUAAAUAACCCAUGUGUAUUAGAGCUGCUUGUGCUGGCUUAUGAAAGUCAAUUGUUAAGUUUUCAUAGAUUUCAUGGGUAUGUUUUUAAAUACAAUCACCUUUUAAAACGAAAUCUUAUGAAUGUGCAAUUACACAUUAUUAAAAACGAAGGUGGCAAAUACUCAAUAUUUGUCAUUUUCUCCUAAGUUUACUAUGUUAACUAUGAUCUAUGUUUUUAAAGUUAUUUGUGCUCAUUAUGUCUGUAGGGUAAAAUACUAAAUAAUCAUGUGUUUCUGCACAUCUCUUCUCUGUUUUGUGUUAGGUGACAUCAUGUUGGUAGAUUGAAAUUACUCAUGAUGGGACUAUAUUUACAUCAUAGAAUUUGACAAAUGCUGGAAACAAAAAUUUGAUUCAUUGUUUUGUUGAUGCUUAGACUUAAGAAAGUGAUGUGAAAAUGUUAAUAAUGCAAAUUAAACUUAAAAAGCUGCCAGGUUUGUAGUCAUUACAUUGUGACUAGUGCACACACAUACACACACACACAAAACAAAAAUGAGAACAUAUUCUUCUAGUAGUCAAACAUUAUCAUCUGAUUCAGCAAAGAACACAUCCAUAUUCUUGACAAAUGAGUGAAUUGCCAAAAUGCCUUUUUGUGGUUUUACUCUCAUCUUACUUGUUAAACAAAUAAAAUUAUCAACUAACAUUCAUGUUGAAAAAGCAUGCUCUCAUCAAUGAUGUGGAUGAAUGCUGAAUUGGAUAGUGAUUCAGCAUCUAUUUGUAGUCUGAUUUUGUUAAAUCACAGUUAAAUGGCAAACAUAAGUUUGCCUCAGAUACAAGAGGUCAGCAAAAAUCAAUAAAAAUGUUCUGUAAAAAUCAAUUGGCUACAUGGAAUUGCAAUAGAGUAUUGUAUUUUUAUUAUUAUUUGUAAACUGUGUCCUAUAUUAUAUCAGUAAAAAUAUAAUAAACUCAAACGUUUUUUCAAGGUUUACUGUUAAACAUUAACCAGCAUACCACUGCAAACUCUCACUCAGUAAAGGCUGCAAUAUAGAAAAGAAAUGUGUAGUUUAGGAAAUCUUAAGAAAAUACUCUCAGCAUAUAAAUCAAAAUAACAUUGAAAUGUUCUAGUAUGAAUUAGUAAUAGGUAAGUGGGAAAAAAAGACUAACCAAA